rnacentral:rRNA from 1 species
CCUACGGGCGGCAGCAGUGGGGAAUAUUGCACAAUGGGGGAAACCCUGAUGCAGAGACGCCGCGUGAGUGAAGACGGUCCUAUGGAUUGUAAACCUCUUUUGUCGGGGAGCAAAAGACGCCACGCGUGGCGUUCCGAGAGUACCCGAAGAAAAAGCAUCGGCUAACUCCGUGCCAGCAGCCGCGGUAAGACGGAGGAGGCGAGCGCUAUCCGGAUGUAGUGGGUUUACCGGGGGCGCAGGCGGAAGAUCAAGUCAGCGGUAAACUUGAGAGGCUCAACCGCGUCGAGCCGUUGACACGUGUUUUCUUGCUUGCGCGAGACGUAUGCGGCAUGCGUUGUGUAGCG